rnacentral:rRNA from 1 species
UAACACAUGCAAGUCGAGCGGUAGAGAGAAGCUUGCUUCUCUUGAGAGCGGCGGACGGGUGAGUAAUGCCUAGGAAUCUGCCUGGUAGUGGGGGAUAACGUUCGGAAACGGACGCUAAUACCGCAUACGUCCUACGGGAGAAAGCAGGGGACCUUCGGGCCUUGCGCUAUCAGAUGAGCCUAGGUCGGAUUAGCUAGUUGGUGAGGUAAUGGCUCACCAAGGCGACGAUCCGUAACUGGUCUGAGAGGAUGAUCAGUCACACUGGAACUGAGACACGGUCCAGACUCCUACGGGAGGCAGCAGUGGGGAAUAUUGGACAAUGGGCGAAAGCCUGAUCCAGCCAUGCCGCGUGUGUGAAGAAGGUCUUCGGAUUGUAAAGCACUUUAAGUUGGGAGGAAGGGUUGUAGAUUAAUACUCUGCAAUUUUGACGUUACCGACAGAAUAAGCACCGGCUAACUCUGUGCCAGCAGCCGCGGUAAUACAGAGGGUGCAAGCGUUAAUCGGAAUUACUGGGCGUAAAGCGCGCGUAGGUGGUUUGUUAAGUUGGAUGUGAAAUCCCCGGGCUCAACCUGGGAACUGCAUUCAAAACUGACUGACUAGAGUAUGGUAGAGGGUGGUGGAAUUUCCUGUGUAGCGGUGAAAUGCGUAGAUAUAGGAAGGAACACCAGUGGCGAAGGCGACCACCUGGACUAAUACUGACACUGAGGUGCGAAAGCGUGGGGAGCAA